rnacentral:lncRNA from 1 species
UCAUGUGUGUGCUAUUGGUCCCCACGCCCGCGCCCGAUAUGGAGUCGGUGCAACAUAGGUUGUGCUUCGCCUGGUCUUUGUCGGUAGCGCAAUCAUCUAACAAUACACCUGGACCCACGCCCGCUGCCGCAAUGCCCUUGCAGCCGGCCGACCCUCCUGUGGUGACGAGCGACCGGCAGCUGUUUGCGGCCAUCUGCGCCCAGAGCCCCCUCAUCUGGCUGGGCGCGGACUUGGACCUGCGCGAGGAGCACUGGCCUGCCAACUGCAGCGCGCCCGUGCGGCUGGACCGCAACAUGACCAUCAGCGGGCCGCUGGACUCGCCCAUCAAGUACACCAUCAACUUCAACUUCAUGGCACGAAAGGUGGGAGCUGUGUGGGAUUGGGACUAGGAAUGGGACUGGAAAUGGGAAUGGGACUGGGAUUGGCGCUGCGACUGGGACUGGUACUGGCAUGGGGACUGGGACUGUGGGGUAGCCUGUGGUGCUUCAGUUGCCGACGCCUACAAAACUAUUGGUGACUAAUCCUGCAUUCGGUAUGCCCAUUUCUUGGCGUAACGGCGAACGCGUGCAGGUGGUCAUUCCGCCAUUUGGUGAGGUGCGGCUGCGCCACUUCACGGCGCGCAACACGCGGCGGGGCGGCGGCGGCGAAAUCGACUUCAUCGCGUACAGCCCCAAGGGCAUCCUGUGGACCGAUGACCUGAACAAGAACCAGGUAAGGGGACGAGACCAACUGUUUUGGCCAGAGCGUGGCUGCGCUAGGCAGGCGCAGUAGAGUGCUUCAGUCAUGUUGUGUCCUGGGGUGCGCUUACUAUCAUCCUCCCAACCUACGUCCCCCGAUUGCUCCUCAUCACCGCAGAUCAUCUGCCUCCACUCCGACCCCUCCAAGCUCAUUCCGCUGCCGCUGCCGGUGGGCUUUCCCCAGUUCGCCAACCAGACUCAGGACGUGAGUCUGUGGGACAACUAUUGCGCCGCGGGCCGCUGCUGGAACGAGGUGCUCCAUUACCAGCAGUUUUCCACGGACGUGAACGUGGGCUCCGACUCUGAGACGGGCGGCUACGUGAUGGCCAAAGUUAACUCCAGCAAAACAUGCGACGGUGAGUGCAAUGCAUGGAUUUGUUUUCAGCUUGUGCGGGUGAUGUAGAUGCUCAUGGGACUUACAACUGAACUGGGUUGCCUGUGUCGCUGUGCUGAAGAUGCAUUGUCUGACGCCUUCAUACAUGUCCGCUCUCAAUCUCUGCCGCAGCCUUUGUGGACCAGCCCUGCAUGGACAAGAACGGCGGGGAGGCCUGCAUGCAGGCCGUCAUCAACACCUUCCUCGCCAGCCUGCCGGUGAGCAGCAUCACGAAACCAUGGGCCCGGCAUAGAGGCCAGGCCUAGCAUAUCCACGGCUGGAAGCACGUACCUGACUUAGGAGAUUGAGUAGCGGAGUGGGAGGCAGGGGCUGAUUGCAGUCAGGCCAGUGCCAAGAGCGUUUGCUGUCGAAGUGGCAGCAUGCGCAGGGCGGAGAGUACCCACGGGACAUUGCAGGGGCGCACAAGACGGGAACUCUAGGAACAUCUGCAAGCUUGCAGCGAGCCGUUUUCCGCACCCGAGCGCACGGGCGGUUGGGGUUGCACCUUACCAUUAAGCGGCUGGUGCGGGACGGAUGCUGGCAGCUGCACGUGAGCAUGGCGUUUGGUUGGUUACAGAGCACACAAGCACGCGUCGCAUGCGGAUGACACUAUUGUAGUUGCUGACGGCGUUCUAGACAGAUUUUCAUGUGUGUGCUAUUGGUCCCCACGCCCGCGCCCGAUAUGGAGUCGGUGCAACAUAGGUUGUGCUUCGCCUGGUCUUUGUCGGUAGCGCAAUCAUCUAACAAUACACCUGGACCCACGCCCGCUGCCGCAAUGCCCUUGCAGCCGGCCGACCCUCCUGUGGUGACGAGCGACCGGCAGCUGUUUGCGGCCAUCUGCGCCCAGAGCCCCCUCAUCUGGCUGGGCGCGGACUUGGACCUGCGCGAGGAGCACUGGCCUGCCAACUGCAGCGCGCCCGUGCGGCUGGACCGCAACAUGACCAUCAGCGGGCCGCUGGACUCGCCCAUCAAGUACACCAUCAACUUCAACUUCAUGGCACGAAAGGUGGG